GAAAUGCGAUAAGUAAUGUGAAUUGCAGAAUUCAGUGAAUCAUCGAAUCUUUGAACGCACAUUGCGCCCGCUAGUAUUCUGGCGGGCAUGCCUGUUCGAGCGUCAUUUCAACCCUCAAGCCCCCGGGCUUGGUGUUGGGGAUCGGCCGCCGUGACCCGGUGGCCGGCCCCGAAUCCCAGUGGCGGUCUCGCUGUAGCCUCCCCUGCGUAGUAGCACACCUCGCACUGGAACUCGGCGCGGCCACGCCGUAAAACCCCCCACUCCUGAAGGUUGACCUCGGAUCAGGUAGGAAUACCCGCUGAACUUAA
rnacentral:misc_RNA from 1 species